rnacentral:rRNA from 1 species
UGUCUCCUACGGGGGGCAGCAGUGGGGAAUAUUGGGCAAUGGGCGCAAGCCUGACCCAGCAACGCCGCGUGAAGGAAGAAGGCUUUCGGGCUGUAAACUUCUUUUAUGAGGGACGAAGGAAGUGACGGUACCUCAUGAAUAAGCCACGGCUAACUACGUGCCAGCAGCCGCGGUAAUACGUAGGUGGCGAGCGUUAUCCGGAUUUACUGGGUGUAAAGGGCGUGUAGGCGGGAUUGCAAGUCAGAUGUGAAAACUAUGGGCUCAACCCAUAGCCUGCAUUUGAAACUGUAGUUCUUGAGUGCUGG